ensembl:lincRNA 2310065F04Rik RIKEN cDNA 2310065F04 gene
GGCUCUUCCCCUGCAUAGCUUCCAGGACUGUAUGUUUCUCUUACAGAGUGCUCAUAAGGAAAUCUAAGUCAACCCCCUAGCUUUGACAGGUGAAGCGCUCUGGGAGGCUGGCUGUUCCAGGAGCCAGGACAACACUGGAAUGUCCUUCCAAAGCAGGACCCAAACAGCUGAGGGGCUCCAGUUACCCAAGAGAAGGUAGAACAAUUGAGCCUAUCAGAGAUUGUGAGCCCUGCCUUUGAAUCACCUGGGUAGAUCUGCAAGUUACUGAUCUUCUUCCAAUCAGCUCAUUGAACAGUCGAGGGGACAUGGGUCCAAGCUCCAGGCUUUUCCAAAGUUCCUUCCAUGGUUGUGAUGUGCAGGAAGAACUGAAAGGCCCUGGCCCGGAUGGUAUCUGAGGUUUCUGACAGGCAGAAGAUUGACUAUCAACAAGACUUGGUGACAGCGGAAGGGGUGGGUGGCCCUUUCAGGUGCAGCCAGAACAAGACAGACAGUUACCUGUGGAUCAGGCCUGGAUCGUCACUGCUCUGGAAGCUUCCUAGUAGAAGGGACUAUGUUUUGCCAGCUCCUGCUAUGCCAUUUGGUAUACAGUCUGCUUACGGAGGUGACACCUGCUGACCGUGCGCGUUUGAGAGCCUCCCAUCUUGAGGGCUAUAGUGUUCUGCUCACCACCUACAAUUACCACGACUAAAAAUACUUCGGAGUAAGGAGAGUCUUCAAGGGGACUUGGCGCCUGGACUACACUGUUCCUAUUUUGGUGCUGUGUCUCAAGGCCACAGCCUUGCUACUGCUGAGCUGCGCAUCGCCAGUAAGACAUUGCACUUCAGAAUUCAUGGAAGCUUUGUGGUUAUGUCUCUUUCCCCCCAAAUGGUACCCACUAGAGAUCUUCCAGAUAAUUCCAUCCCGACUUAGCCACCAUGUGCAGAAACAGCAACUUCAUAGACAUCAGGCAAGCAUGCGUCUUCCCCAUGGUAAUGUAGCCACAGCUAAUGGGAUCAUUCCACCUUCACUGGUGUGUUUAAGGAGCUACCGAACAAACCCCAGGUCAUCGUGUGAGGAGAAAUAAACUAGAAGAGGGUGAUCAAACAGGCCAAGAAGACACCAUGCCCUCUUCUUCUCCCGCUGUCUUGAGCACCUUGUGUCUAUUCACUCAGCACGAUUCCAUCUUAGCAAUAAAUCCCCCACAAGGAUGUUGUGAUCUCUCCGAUUUAAUCGGCAUUAAAUCCUUUGAGUCCUCAUAUCCUUCCUCUCCCAUUUCUUAAAAUAGUCGGCAGCACUUAAGUCCAGCAUCCUAUCGACUUCUAACAUUGCAUAAUCCCGCAAGACCCCUCUCCCCUGUUCUCCUUAAGGAGCCCACAUAAUCAGAAAGUUCUCCCAUGAGAACCUGAAGGUAGGGUGGUUCAGGCAGCCCUGGGGUUAGUGGGGCACAUUGCUGCCAGGAUCGCCUGAGGGCCUGCUAGGUUGGAGGGGUACUUACUAUCCCUUCACUGUUUGACUGGAUCAGAAAGUACGUCUCUGCUUUGAUUAUCUCUUAGGGUGGGCUGAGGACAGAAGAGUUGGAUUGUGGGCAUCGGUUCUUGUCACAGUUCUUACAGGAAGCUUUGAGGUUUGAGUCAGCUUGGCAGGGAGGAGGCGUCACUCAGGGAGCAUGGACUGUGUUCUGGGGAUUUGAGAUUGGGGGACUGUUCUCAAGAGAGACCUGGGGUUGUGCUCAGCCUUGCCCAAUGCUUGGGUCACUCUAGUCUGGAAUGGUCACAGAAGUGCAGUCUCUGUCGGAGAAACCAAACCCUUUGUAGGACCUGUCUUGAACUAAGGAAAGAAUGGUAGGUGGAACAGAGCUCAACGGACACCGAGAGCAUCUCCCAAGCGACAAGACCCCCCGCCCCCCGUUAGUGAGCGUGAGAUGCUCGUGGGCAAAGACACGGGGAUGGGUUCUCAAGCAGAGGGGAUGCACUUUAUGAUCCAUCUGCCAUGUUUGCAGGUGAGUGAGUGAGGAGAAAAGAACGGUUACGUGGAAGACCCGUUACGGACAUGAAAGCCAACCCCACCUUGAAGAUGUCACCGCGGUCCCAAGUUGUAGGUGGACGCCAGAAGAGUAUUUAGACUCAGACCUGGGCAAACUAGCGGACGUGCUACUCCAGGCUUAAGAAAACCCAGGUGGUUAAAACCAAGGCAGCAUCCCUAAUCUGUGCUUGGUCCAACAACAUGGCCGUUUAUUUGUGGCUCACCACUGCCCUCUGGUGGCACUCUCCAAAAAUGCAACUUGGUUUUAAAGGUUGGGGAUGGUGAGACUGACUUAACCAGUUUGUUUGUUUGUUUGUUUGUUUGAGUACAUACCCUCAGUAUUUGAGUCUCAGGAUCAUUUUGAUUCACCUGCAUGAAUCAAGUCACGUGAUUAGAGUAAAAGGAGCAGAAUUCAGUGUAUCUCAUGCCUUUGUCUGGCCUUGCCAUUGUCAGACAAUUCAGCUAGCUCUUGGGAACUGCUGUUUCUAUCAGACACUAUUGUGUGGGGCCUUUUAUCUGAGCUGUAGCAUUGAUCCUCUAGGGUGGGUGCAAUAAUUAUUUAUGUUACAGAUGAAGAAAUAGAGGCGCACAGAUGUCUCACUCUUAACAUAUGAAUAUGGCAUUGAGUCCCCAGUGACACCAACCUGUUAAGAUGUCACUCAGUACCCACCCAGUCCCACCCUGAGCAGAAUGAAUGGACGGGGAAAUAUAAUUUUAAAGUACUGUUU